rnacentral:lncRNA from 1 species
UUUCGGACAUCGUUGCUCUGGGGAAAAGAGGAUGGGGAUGGCUUCCUCCAUGUAUAAUACACAUUUGAGGAAGGGUCAGGCUUCUCCAGCACCAUAAAUUUUCUGGCGUGUUGUUCUGAGACUCUAGGACUGCUGAAUUUUUUAAGGAGAUAUGGGAUUUACCUGGAACAAGACAUCCACCCAAAAUGGGAUUGGAAUUCACAUUUUUUGAGGGCAUAUUGAAGAGAUACAGCAUGAGAACACGCAGAUGUAAUGAUGCCUGCUUAGCAGUGAGUGUUUGGUCAGGGAGGAUAUGGGAGCAGGGAAAUCAGGAAGACCCUGGACACUGCUCCUCUCAGCAAAUCCCUCUCUGCCCCUUGGUACAGGUGGCAGCAUGAGCUCCCAGGACAUCUGCAGCUCCCCAGGGGAUCUCCGAGCUCCUGCUCUCCAAAUGAACUCAACUUCUGCUCAGCCAGGUACCACAGUUGUGCUCCAGUGUAUUCUCCCUGUGGUGUCACAUGCAAGACGAAUCAUCUUCUGCAAGGAUGGGAUGGAGCUGUACAGUCUGAAAGCCCAUCAAAGGCAGCUGAGCUACUCCUUGGUCCUGAACAUCACGUCAAGAAGCACAGGAAAAUACACAUGUGGGUACCAGGAGUGGAAUGAGAUGAAACACAAGAGGAGCUCUGCCCUCAGUGCUGGCCGCAUCCUGAAUGUCCCUGGCAAUGUGGUGAGUUCUCCAGCAAGUCCAUCACCCUCAGCUCCAAAUUCCCGGAUCCCACACACCCUCGCCACAGCCAUGGCGCUGGCAUUGGCGGCCGUUGGCCUCGUCGUCCUGGCUGCAGGCAGCUGGUUUGCCAUUAGGAAAGGUGCCUGCAGAGGGAGAUAUCCAAGGCAGCAGCACGUUGACAGCCCACAGAUGGAAACCACAGACAACGGCGAAGUCACAUACUCAACCAUCGCUCAUGUUCGACGGGACAGGCCUCGUCCUGUGCAGCACAUGAGCGACACCACGACGUAUGCCACGGUGACCCGAACUCAGACCCGAUAGCGCUGCCACAGGGCAAGGGCACAGGAGCCUUGACCACGGCUGCCUUUACUCUUUUGUAGGGGGCUCUUGAAGCCAUAUCAUGGGGCUGGGGGGUGCACUUUGGGGUUCUCUGGGGUUUUCUGUCACAGGAAAUGCUGUGUGUAUCUAGCCAAGAGGAUGAAGGACUCAUAUCUCAGUUUGCAAUAAAUUAAUACCUCUAAAAUAUAUCA